GGCUCAGGACGAACGCUGGCGGCGUGCCUAAUACAUGCAAGUCGAACGGUCUUUUCUAUGGAAGCUUGCUUCCACUGAGAAGAUAGUGGCGAACGGGUGAGUAACACGUGGGUAACCCUGCCCAUAAGAGGGGGAUAACAUCCGGAAACGGGUGCUAAUACCGCAUAGUUUUCUUGAUCGCAUGAUCGGGAAAGGAAAGACGGCCUUUGUGCUGUCGCUUAUGGAUGGACCCGCGGCGUAUUAGUUAGUUGGUGAGGUAACGGCUCACCAAGGCGACGAUGCGUAGCCGACCUGAGAGGGUGAUCGGCCACAUUGGGACUGAGACACGGCCCAGACUCCUACGGGAGGCAGCAGUGGGGAAUAUUGCACAAUGGGGGAAACCCUGAUGCAGCAACGCCGCGUGAGUGAUGACGGCCUUCGGGUUGUAAAGCUCUGUCUUCAGGGACGAUAAUGACGGUACCUGAGGAGGAAGCCACGGCUAACUACGUGCCAGCCGCCGC
rnacentral:rRNA from 1 species